AUAGGUAGGAGCUUAAUGGAUCAAAGUAGAUGGCCAAAAUAGUAAGAAUUUAGUUUGCAGUGAGGAAGGGAGCAUUUUGAGGCAUUUGGAUCUCAAAGUUGGUAGUAAAGUGUUGGUAGAGGUAGUGCAGAAAGCAGUAUUUCCCAGAUGGUAAAUAUUUGAAGGUAUGAACCGGUUACUCUUUUGUUUCAUCUUUGGCUGUUGAGAGCUUUGUAACAAGCUGGCUCCGAGCUAAAGGUCACAGUGAGAUUAAUUUGACCAAGAUAGAGAAUGAGGGGAGUUGCCAUUCCAAUUAAACUGUGUCCUUGGCCCACGGAUGAAGUAAUGCACCGAGCAGGUGGUGGAGCAAAAUAGCCUGGGAAAAUGAUGAUAGUUAUACCAAAAACAGCACGUCGAUAGCUGUUAGCUAGUUAGCCAAUGGUGAGCUGGGAUUUUGCACUAUGCAUGAGCUACUUAAAGGGUGUAUAAUAAUCGGUGAUUCGGGAAUAAAGACGAGACUUGUCGAUCAUCAUAUGGUGAGCAAGUCUUCCUUCUCCAUCAUUUGGCUGUAUAGCCAAGGCCUUAUCUUUAUAGCAAAGCUUGGAAUCCUUCAGCCAUAUGCCUUCAUUUAACAGAGGCAGCACCCCAGGCCUGUAGAUACUUUCAGUCAAAACACAAAAGCAUAUUUAAACCAUUCAAAGCUAGACCAGCAUUAGGCACAUUACUGAGUUAUGCUUUUCCCUUCACUGAUCUAGAACUGGUAUGAUCUGUGCUGAAGGUACAUCACGUUCAUCUUCAGUAUGUGUCCUGCAGCCACAAGGGUAUGAUUACAGAUCUGCUGUUCCUUGUAGCUCUUAAGUGUCAGGUAUUUCACACAUUGAGAAGGAAAUAGGAUUCCAGUUCACCUCUUUCCUUCCAAGCAGGUACAUAGUUUUGUCAUGGUUUUGUCUGUAAGUGUUGCACGGGGGCUGCUGGUUGGUGUUCAGCCAGCGCACAGGCAUGAUCCAGAGGAAAGGACAGAAUGAUGAUUCAACCAGCCUAGGGUUGGACUUAGUGCCAUUUUUGAGGUGGAGCUUGGACUGGAUAACCUUCAGAGCUCCCUUCCAAAGAAAAUUGCUGUGAUUGGCUGUCGUGGAAUACUGCUGUGCAGUCCCAUGCUGGUCAGUGAUAUGGUGUCCUAAAACCGUGUGUAAUCUUUACACCUACGUGCCAUCUUUUGCCAUUUAUUCACAGCACUCUCACUGGGAAACCAUAUAAAAUAAAAAUAAUGCAUUCUUCUUGAAAUUAGUUUCAUUCUGAUUACUCCAAUAUCUAUAAUGUAUUUCAAUCUUUUGAAGCAGAAAAAUGCUUCCCUAAAUUUUUAUGCUUUGGACAGCCAGUCCCUUACAGGAAGCAGGAAAUUUAGAAUUCCAAACUGUCUGUGGUGAGAGCUUUGUUGCUACUUUUGCUGUUCAAUCCCUUUUAUUUUCUGAGAAAAGCCCACACUUCUUACUCUGUGUCAUCCUCCUCUAUUUGAUGUGUACAUUGGUUUUAUGGAUUGUUGGGGCUUUGAGGGGGCAGUUUACUCUUUGUUACACAUUUAUGCAUGACUGCUAAACUGUAGUUCUUCUCACAAGUUCCUUUCAAGUCUGGUGGAAGACACAAGAAAUAAUGCUCUCUGCAUCAACUUUUCAUGAACUCAUCAGGAAACAUACUUUGAGUGAUAGACUAGAAGUAAUUUUGUAGAUUAAGACACCAAACUGAUUUUAAUAGUAAUGACUGCAUUGUGGGGCUCGGGCAGGGUAGCGGGGAAGGUCUGGAAAGAUAGAAGGGGGAAGAAAAGAAGCAAGCUUUAGGAAAGAGUAAACUUGGGCCAAGGCAUAAAGAAUGCCUGAGUAAUAUAGGAGGCAUUGGGUUAAUCGGGAUGGCUAAAGGGGAAUAGACUUCCUUACACCUAGAUGUUCUUUGUGACUGUUCAAGGAUAAUGAACAACAGCAUUCUGCUUGUUUGCUAAAAACCUUAGGCUCUCUUAUUUGAGACAGCUGAGGCAGCCAGCAGUACCUACAAUAGCAGCAAGAGUUAGAGCAAGUAUUAAAUGCUUCAAGCCUGUGUGGGUCAAGAGAGUGAACACAGGGCUGCAUUCUUUAGGUUAUAAGGUGCAUCUCAUGAGUAGUAAAAUGCUAUAAAAUAAAUAAAGCGUGUGACACCUUUUUCCUGUUAUUGUUUCAUCUUCAGCUUAAUGAGCCUUUGUGGGAAGAGGCAGAGGCAUUCUGAACUGAUGCAAGUGAGGUAGUAGUUAAGUUGACGAGAGUCAGUGAUCUGGAAAUGUCUUCAGCUGUCAGUGCUUUUGGCCACACAGCUUUUUGGAUUUAAUGCAGUGUUUCUGAAAGUCUUGGUGCAUGACAAAUUGACCAUGCACUGGUAGUGUACCAUUGUGGCCUGGAGGACCAAUGGGAUUCUGGGGUGAAUUGGGAAGAAUGUGGCCAACAGGUUGGGGAAGGUGAUCCUGCCUCUCUCUUUGUCCAUGUCUGUGGUAUUGUGUUCAGUUCUGGGCUCCUCUGUAUAAGAAAGAAAAGGAGCUACUGCAGGGUGUCCAGCAGAGGCCACAGAGAUGAUUUGUGAUCUGAAGCAUCUCUCUUAUGAGGAGAGACUGCAGGAGCUGGGCCUGUUUAGUCCAGAGAAAACUUAGAGGGAAUCUCAUUAGUGAAUAUAAAUAUCUCAAAGGCAGGUACCAAGAGGAUGGUGCCAGACUCUUCAGUGGUGCCCAGCGACAGGACAAGGAGCAGUGGCCAUAACCAAAACACAAGAAAUUCCACCUCAACAUGAGGAAAAAAUUCUUUAUAUUGAGAUUUUUAGAGCAUGGGAAGAGGCUGCCCAGGGAGGUCAUAGAAUCUCCCUCUCUGGAGACAUUUACACCCCACUGGGAAAUGUUCCUGUGUCACCUGGUCCUGGUGACCCUGCCUAGACAGGAGGAUUGGAUGAUCUCCAGAAGUCCCUUCCAACCCUAACGAUUCUGGGAUUCUGUGAUUCUAAUGGUGAAAAAGCUUUGUAACAGUCUGAUCAUAUGUUAAGAUGCUUUUCUCCUUUGCAGUGAUGAUAUUCUGUUUUCAUAGAAUCAUAUGGGUUGGAAUGGACCUUAAAGAUGAUUUAGUUCCAAACCCCCUACCACAUGGGAUAUUUUGUGUUAGAGCAGAUUGGUCAAAGCCCCAUCCAAUCUGGCCUUUAGAAUUUCCAGGAAUGGGGCAUUCACACCUUCUCUGGGUAAGAAUUUCUUGCCUAUAUCUAAUAAAAAUCUUGCCAAUUUCAGUUGAAUGCCAUUCCUCUUUGUCCUGUCACUACAUGCACCUGUAAAAAGUUCCUCUCCAGUCUUCUUGUGGGUCUGCUUUAGGUGCUGGAAGGUUGCAAAAAGAGCUCCUCUCUUCUCUAGGCUGAUCAACCCAAACUGUCUUGGCAUGUCUUCAUAAGAGAGGUGCUCCAGCCCUCUAUUGUUUUCAUGCUUCUUGUUUGGAUUUGCUCCAGAGUUGUCUACAAUUUUUUACCUGUCAGUUUAAAUACAAUUUUUUAAAUUAAGUCUGUGAUCUAUUUUAAGGAAUUUGAAGUAGAGAGUAGGGAAUGAUUGGUUAGAUGUCAGAUAGUAGGUUGUUGCUAGAGCCAGAAACUAAAGAUCUCUUCUUCUGAUGUUUUUAUUUUUCAGUGGUAUUAUUCUCUAGACUGUACUGCCUCCCACCUGAGAGCUGCUUUAGCUGCUAAUAAAUCAUACCAGAGCAAUUUUCUGACUGGGAAUGUUUUGCUAAUCCAGGCUACCUCUACACAUCAUCAGGUUUAUGGUAUAGCUAAGACCAUGUGUGGCUCUACACGUGUGUUUUGUUAAUUCGGAGUUUCAUUCUGUUUUGCAAGCAGGGAACAAGCGCCUUUGUCACAACUUCCAUUUCGACAGCAGGUCUGCUUAUUGAGAGAAAUUAUUUUGUUUAUACAGAUGAACAGCAACUGCUUGGUGUUUUUUGAGUAAAUGUGUAAAGUUUUGGGUAUCCCAACACAUUCUGUGGCAGCCCUCCUAAAAGUUGCCACAUCUCCUCUUUUGUCUCACAUGAUAAUAGAACAGCAAGAGUUCUUUCUAAAAGGUUUCCUCUGUGCUUUCACAUGCCAGUUUUAUGUAGUAACCAAAAGAUUAGAAAUGAAGUAUUGAGUGUUCUGCAGAGCUAAUUUUUAAUGCCUAAGUUCAAAGAGUGCAGUGUGGAUGUUGUAGAGAUUUGGUGUUCAGCAGCCAAAGGGCCAUCAUAGCCUUUUCAGGAAAAAGGUACUUUUUCAAAACUUAUUUUUGCAUUUGUUCUGUAAGGAGGAAAGCAAAACCAGCUUCUCCUCACAGCUUUCUUUGCUGCCCAGCUAGACUGUAAUGAUGCAUAUCUGCUACCAAUUAAUUUCAAUUUAUUUUGGCCCUAUUUCAUUAUGUCAGUUUUUGUUUAGUUCUCUUUAAAUUGUCUUAUUUUGAUGAAAUGAAAUCCUGUUUAAAGUAUGCUGCCAUGAAGUAGAAGGAAGGCAGAAAGAGUUUGUAAUCUAUUUAGAAAAGAUUAUUAUGGAUAUAUGUGAUAAUGUAAAAAGUAUUUGAAUGACUGUCUUGAUUAAACUACCUGUUUUAUCAGGUAAGAUUUACUGUAUUCACAGUUAUAAAUUAGCACAGUUACUUUAUAGAUAGACAGUAUCAGGACUUUUCUCUGAGGAAAAAGUGCAGCAUGUUGCAUCAACAUCCUCCUUGCCUUUUAAACUACAGGGUCUGAAUAUGCAGAGACAAUCCCUGAUUUUGGUGGCCCCUGAGAUGACAUUACCAAUUCCUAUCUGCAUAGGUUGCUUGACCUGAAUGAGCUUUCAGCCAUACCCUUUCUACCCUUUGUUGCUGAAAUCUGUUGGAAAACUCCUCCCUAUGAAAAUACUGACCUUUUCCACCUUUUUUCAAGCAU